rnacentral:lncRNA from 1 species
UAUAUUGAAUAUGCUAAAUAAAUAAAUUUUGGAACAUGAUUUUGGUUCAAGUUGCAAAGUAGUGAUUCAUGUAAAUUAUAUUUAUAUAUAUAUAUAUAUAUAUGAUUGAUUUGUUAAUAUAAAAAGAUAUAUAGUUGAUUUCAGGCUUGCAAGUAAUAUGCAGGCGGUGAUUUCGUGAAUUUUUAUUUAUUUUAUUUUAUUUUUUAAUAAUUAUUUGGCCAUAAAAUUUAU